rnacentral:rRNA from 1 species
UUGGAGGGCAAGUCUGGUGCCAGCAGCCGCGGUAAUUCCAGCUCCAAUAGCGUAUAUUAAAGUUGUUGCAGUUAAAAAGCUCGUAGUUGAACUUCGGGGUCUACCCAUUGGUCAGGCUUAAUUGUCUGCACUGGUGAGAUAGAUCUCUACCUUCUGAGGAACUUUCAUGCCAUUUAUUUGGUGUGAUGGGAAAUCAGGACUGUUACUUUGAAAAAUUAGAGUGUUUAAAGCAGACUAUCGUCUGAAUACAUUAGCAUGGAAUAAUGAAAUAGGACGGACUGAUUCUAUUUCGUUGGUUUCUAGGAUCACCGUAAUGAUUAAUAGGGAUAGUUGGGGGCAUUAGUAUUCAAUUGUCAGAGGUGAAAUUCUUGGAUUUAUUGAAGACUAACUACUGCGAAAGCAUUUGCCAAGGAUGUUUUCAUUAAUCAAGAACGAAAGUUAGGGGAUCGAAGACGAUCAGAUACCGUCGGUAUCCGUUUAAAACCCAAUUAAAAAACCCUUAAAUUCGGGACCCCCGGGUAAAACCCCGUUUUUUAAAAACGGGGGGGGGGGGGAAAAAGUUUUUUUAACCCCCGGGGGGGGGGGAAAAAACCCCCGGGGGUAAAAAAAAAACGGGGGGGUUUUUUUUUUAAAAAAAAAACGUUUUUUUUUUUUUUUUUUUAAAAAAACGGUUUUUUU